GCAUCAUGAAGCCUAAGGAACACACCAGACAGGUCAGGGAUAAAGUUGAGGAUAAGUUUGAUAAGAAAAGUUUGAUAAGUUAGGAUAUGAAAAAAUAUCCCAAGCUUUGGACAUCACACAGAGCACUGUUCAGUCCAUCACCUGAAAAUGGAAAGAGUAUGGCACAACUGCAAAUCUACCAAGACAUGGCUGUGCACCUAAACUGACAGGCUGGGCAAGGAGAAUAUUGAUCAGAGAAGCAGCCAAGAGGCCCAUGAUAACUCUGGAGGAGCUGCAGUGAUCCACAGCUCAGGGAGCAAGGAGCAGACGGAACAAUUAGCCUAAUUAAACUCCGAGGUCAGAACGACCAUCUUUUCACCGGAGCCAAACAUUCUGCCGCAGCUGGAUGGAAGAUUGCAAAUAUCCAGGGACGGUUGACGAGCAGGAGUGCCAGCACUGCUACUUGGCCCUGGUUUGUCCUCAUGGAUGAUAUCUUAGGACAGAGGCAUUCCACUGUUCCCCCUGUCCUAAUUGCCUCUAUCCCUGGGGACUAACCAGGGCCAAGUGGUGCUGUGCCUGACCGGGAGGAGGAAGAGGAGAACUACGACGAC